rnacentral:rRNA from 1 species
AUGAACGCUGGCGGCGUGCCUAAUCCCUGCAAGUCGAGCGAACGGACGAGAAGCUUGCUUUUCUGAUGUUAGCGGCGGACGGGUGAGUAACACGUGGAUAACCUACCUAUAAGACUGGGAUAACUUCGGGAAACCGGAGCUAAUACCGGAUAAUAUUUUGAACCGCAUGGUUCAAAAGUGAAAGACGGUCUUGCUGUCACUUAUAGAUGGAUCCGCGCUGCAUUAGCUAGUUGGUAAGGUAACGGCUUACCAAGGCAACGAUGCAUAGCCGACCUGAGAGGGUGAUCGGCCACACUGGAACUGAGACACGGUCCAGACUCCUACGGGAGGCAGCAGUAGGGAAUCUUCCGCAAUGGGCGAGAGCCUGACGGAGCAACGCCGCGUGAGUGAUGAAGGUCUUCGGAUCGUAAAACUCUGUUAUUAGGGAAGAACAUAUGUGUAAGUAACUGUGCACAUCUUGACGGUACCUAAUCAGAAAGCCACGGCUAACUACGUG